rnacentral:rRNA from 1 species
AUUGAACGCUGGCGGCAGGCCUAACACAUGCAAGUCGAACGAGUGGCGGACGGGUGAGUAAUGUCUGGGAAACUGCCUGAUGGAGGGGGAUAACUACUGGAAACGGUAGCUAAUACCGCAUACCAUCGGAUGUGCCCAGAUGGGAUUAGCUAGUAGGUGGGGUAAAGGCUCACCUAGGCGACGAUCCCUAGCUGGUCUGAGAGGAUGACCAGCCAACCUGGAACGGAGACACGGUCCAGACUCCUACGGGAGGCAGCAUUGGGGAAUAUUGCACAAUGGGCGCAAGCCUGAUGCAGCCAUGCGGCGUGGAUGGAGACGGCCUUCGUGUUGUAAAGUACGUUCGGCGGAGAGGCGUUACCCGCAGAAGAAGCACCGGCUAACUCCGUGCCAGCAGCCGCGGUAAUUC